rfam:Oryza barthii chromosome 1, whole genome shotgun sequence.
UUUAACUGCAGUUGUGGGUUUCCGUGUCCAAUAUUUGACCGUUCGUCUCUUAUUUUAAAUUUUUUGAUGAUUAAUAUUUUUAUUGAUUUAAGAUGAUAAUACAUUAAUAAUAUUUUAUACGUAACUUAUUAUUUUUAAUUUUUCCAUCAUUUUUUCAAAUAAGACGAACGGUUAAACAUUAGAUACCCAACCCCUCCUCCCCGGCACGCAAA